UUCCUUGUGAGGCUUUAUUGCAUUAACACUUUGAGAGCCCUAAAAUCAACAGAGCUGUCAAGGAAGGGAAGUCAAAACACUGGAUCAAGAGCCCACAGAACCUGUGGUUUCCAUCCUCAGCAGUAGAACAAAGGAAAGGGGAUAGCAGCAGAGGCAAUUUUACAAGCUCUUAAUAUUCACCACACUCUAGAGCCAGAGAAGAUCAAGCUGGAUCCUCAACCUUCCUACACUGAUGGCCUCUACCAAAGCACAUGUAGAUGCCUGGGA